GUAGCAUAUGCUCUGUCUCAAAGAUUAAGCCAUGCAAGUGUAAGUACACACGGACUGUACAGUGAAACUGCGAAUGGCUCAUUAAAUCAGUUAUGGUCCCUUUGAUCGCUCUCACGUUACUUGGAUAACUGUGGCAAUUCUAGAGCUAAUACAUGCAAACGAGCGCUGACCCUCCGGGGGAUGCGUGCAUUUAUCAGAUCCAAAACCCAUGCGGGGAGCCCCUCCGGGGGUGCCCCCGGACCCCUUUGGUGACUCUGGAUAACCUCGAGCCGAUCGCUGGCCCCCCGCGGCGGCGACGUCUCUUUCGAAUGUCUGCCCUAUCAACUUUCGAUGGUACUUUCCGUGCCUACCAUGGUGACAACGGGUAACGGGGAAUCAGGGUUCGAUUCCGGAGAGGGAGCCUGAGAAACGGCUACCACAUCCAAGGAAGGCAGCAGGCGCGCAAAUUACCCACUCCCGACUCGGGGAGGUAGUGACGAAAAAUAACAAUACAGGACUCUUUCGAGGCCCUGUAAUUGGAAUGGGUGCACUUUAAAUCCUUUGACGAGGAUCCAUUGGAGGGCAAGUCUGGUGCCAGCAGCCGCGGUAAUUCCAGCUCCAAUAGCGUAUAUUAACGUUGCUGUAGUUAAAAAGCUCGUAGUUGGACCUCGGGGUCCGGCUGGCGGUCCGCCGCGAGGCGUGCCACCGCCUGCCCGGGCCCCUGCCUCUCGGCCGCCCCCGGGAUGCUCUUGACUGAGUGUCCCGCCCGGGGCCCGAAGCGUUUACUUUGAAAAAUCAGAGUGUUCAAAGCANGCCCGGUCGCCUGAAUACCGCAGCUAGGAAUGAUGGAAUAGGACUCCGGUCCUAUUUUGUGGUUUUAUCCUCCGGACUGGAGCCAUGAUUGAGAGGGACNNGCCGGGGCAUUCGUAUUGUGCCGCUAGGAGUGAAAAUCUUGGACCGGCGNCAGAACGACGAGAGCGAAAGCAUUUGCCNAGAAUGUUUUCAUUUAUCAAGAACGAAAGUCGNAGGUUCGAAGACGAUCAGAUACCGUCGUAUUUCCGACAUAAACGAUGCAACUAGCGAAUCGGCGGGGUAUUCCAAUGACCCNCGGGGAACGUCCGGGAACCAAAUCUUUGGGUUCCGGGGAGANAUUGCCCAAAUCAAACCCUGAAAACCACC
rnacentral:rRNA from 1 species